UGCGCCAAAACGGUAAGCUGGGACAGGUAGCUGCCGAGUUGCAUGACAGGAUAGCGCAGCGAGUCUUUGUGAACGAGUUUCUUUCGGGCGAAGCCUAAAGACUUGACACCGUGACAGCGAUCAGACGCCAACAUCGGGGAGCUCAAAUCCAGCGCGGACGGGGGGACGCCUGCGCAAAGUCUGGCCCCGUUGGUGUC
rnacentral:lncRNA from 1 species